rnacentral:rRNA from 1 species
CCUACGGGCGGCAGCAGUGAGGAAUAUUGGUCAAUGGACGCAAGUCUGAACCAGCCAUGCCGCGUGCAGGAAGAAGGUGCUAUGCAUUGUAAACUGCUUUUAUACGGGGGUAAUUACAGAUACGUGUAUCUGGAUGAAAGUACCGUAUGAAUAAGGAUCGGCUAACUCCGUGCCAGCAGCCGCGGUAAUACGGAGGAUCCGAGCGUUAUCCGGAUUUAUUGGGUUUAAAGGGUGCGUAGGCGGGCCUUCAGGCCGGCGGUAAAAUUGCGGGGCUCAACCCCGCCGAGCCGUCGGAACCGGGGGCCUUGAGUACCGGAGAAGUACGCGGAAUGCGUGGUGUAGCGGUGAAAUGCAUAGAUAUCACGCAGAACCCCGAUUGCGAAGGCAGCGUACCGGCCGGUCACUGACGCUGAGGCACGAAAGCGCGGGUAUCGAACAGGAUUAGAUACCCUUGUAGUC